ACAGAAACCCCGAACAUUAGCUUACAAAAUAAUAUCCAUGAAACAUUCCCAAGUGAUUAAUGGCAAAUUCUGUUAGGGUUUGACCCCCGGAUCACGAAAAUGCCACUGCAAUUUUUUGAGUUUGCUUGUAAAAGAUUUUUUUAAUGUUCAAAAGGAAAAAUUAUGGCUUCGAAAUUUUUCUUUAAUCUGUAUUGUUUCCACCCAAUUUAGACAGUUUUUGAAAUAUAUGAUUGGAUAAGUAAUGCCUGCAAAGGAGCUCGACAAAGACGAAAAAUGUGAAUUUUGGACGACUGUAAGUCGGCUGUACAUAUCGACAGCCGAUCAGAUGCACAGCAAUGACCAUUUAGAAAAAAUGAUGUUAGUGGGAUUUAUGAAAAAAUUCAGAACUUUCAUACCUCAGGGGUCCAGCACUAACAGAAUUUGCCAUCAGUCGCUGGGACGCCUUUUGGCUGUAAACUACUGGAAUUAAUACAUUUUGUGAUUUUCAGUUAAUCAAGCACGGUUAUGUGUUUAAAACAAAAUUAAAUUUAAAACUAUUAAUGAUAAAACCUUUUAUUUUAAAAGAUUAAUUUUUUA